rnacentral:rRNA from 1 species
AAAGAAAGCGUAAUAGCUCACUGGUCGAGUCGGCCUGCGCGGAAGAUGUAACGGGGCUAAACCAUGCACCGAAGCUGCGGCAGCGACGCUGAUGCGUUGUUGGGUAGGGGAGCGUUCUGUAAGCCUGCGAAGGUGGCCUGUGAGGGUUGCUGGAGGUAUCAGAAGUGCGAAUGCUGACAUAAGUAACGAUAAAGCGGGUGAAAAGCCCGCUCGCCGGAAGACCAA